CCUACGGGUGGCAGCAGUGAGGAAUAUUGGUCAAUGGGCGUAAGCCUGAACCAGCCAAGUCGCGUGAGGGAUGAAGGUUCUAUGGAUCGUAAACCUCUUUUAUAAGGGAAUAAAGUGCGGGACGUGUCCCGUUUUGUAUGUACCUUAUGAAUAAGGAUCGGCUAACUCCGUGCCAGCAGCCGCGGUAAUACGGAGGAUCCGCGCGUUAUCCGGUUUUAUUGGGGUUAAAGGGUGCGCAGGCGGCGUGUCAAGUCAGCGGGAAAAGGUCGGGGCUCAACCCCGGCCGGCCGUUGAAACUGGGGUGCUCGAGUUGGAGAGAGGUAUGCGGAAUUCGUGGUGUAGCGGUGAAAUGCAUAGAUAUCACGAAGAACCCCGAUUGCGAAGGCAGCAUACCGGCUCCACACUGACGCUGAGGCACGAAAGCGUGGGUAUCGAACAGGAUUAGAUACCCGUGUAGUC
rnacentral:rRNA from 1 species